GAGGAGAAAAUGGCAACCCUCUCCAAUAUUCUUGCCUGGGUAAUCCCAUGGACUAAGGAGCCUAGCGGGCUACAGUCCAUGGGGUCUCAAAGAGUCAGACACAACAGCGACUUAGCAUGUACUGACUUCUAGUUUCACUCCAAAGUGAUUGGAAAAGAUUGCAGCUGUCUGCAUUGUGGACCCGUUAACAUAGAUAGGAACAAUAUAAAUGCUGUUUUACACAUUUGCCUUUUACAUUAUAUGGAAAAUAAUAAAUAUAAACCAAGAGUUCUAUAAUAUUAACUUUUACAUUUAACUUUGUAGUUA